rnacentral:tRNA from 1 species
GCCCAGAUAGCUCAGUUGGUAGAGCACGUCCUUGGUAAGGACGAGGUCACGGGUUCGAGUCCCGUUCUGGGCU